rnacentral:rRNA from 1 species
AAAUUGAAGAGUUUGAUCAUGGCUCAGAUUGAACGCUGGCGGCAGGCCUAACACAUGCAAGUCGAACGGUAACAGGAAACAGCUUGCUGUUUCGCUGACGAGUGGCGGACGGGUGAGUAAUGUCUGGGAAACUGCCUGAUGGAGGGGGAUAACUACUGGAAACGGUAGCUAAUACCGCAUAACGUCGCAAGACCAAAGAGGGGGACCUUAGGGCCUCUUGCCAUCGGAUGUGCCCAGAUGGGAUUAGCUAGUAG